rnacentral:tRNA from 1 species
GGGGGUGCAGCUCAGUGGCAAAGCAUUUGCUUAGCAUGCAUGAGACCAUGGGUUCAAUCCCCAUCACCACAA